rnacentral:rRNA from 1 species
UACGAAGGGGGCUAGCGUUGUUCGGAUUCACUGGGCGUAAAGGGCGCGUAGGCGGCCGAUCAAGUCGGGGGUGAAAGCCUGUGGCUCAACCACAGAAUUGCCUUCGAUACUGUUUGGCUUGAGACCGGAAGAGGUUAGUGGAACUGCGAGUGUAGAGGUGAAAUUCGUAGAUAUUCGCAAGAACACCAGUGGCGAAGGCGGCUGACUGGUCCGGUUCUGACGCUGAGGCGCGAAAGCGUGGGGAGCAAACAGG